rnacentral:rRNA from 1 species
UUGAACGCUGGCGGCAUGCCUUACACAUGCAAGUCGCACGGUAACAGGUUAAGCUGACGAGUGGCGAACGGGUGAGUAAUACAUCGGAACGUGCCCAGUAGUGGGGGAUAGCCCGGCGAAAGCCGGAUUAAUACCGCAUACGACCUAAGGGUGAAAGGGGGGGAUCGCAAGACCUCUCGCUAUUGGAGCGGCCGAUGUCAGAUUAGCUAGUUGGUGGGGUAAAAGCUCACCAAGGCGACGAUCUGUAGCUGGUCUGAGAGGACGACCAGCCACACUGGGACUGAGACACGGCCCAGACUCCUACGGGAGGCAGCAGUGGGGAAUUUUGGACAAUGGGCGCAAGCCUGAUCCAGCCAUGCCGCGUGCGGGAAGAAGGCCUUCGGGUUGUAAACCGCUUUUGUCAGGGAAGAAAUCCUUUGGGUUAAUACCUCGGGGGGAUGACGGUACCUGAAGAAUAAGCACCGGCUAACUACGUG